GAUGAACGCUGGCGGCGUGCCUAAUACAUGCAAGUCGAGCGAACAGACGAGGAGCUUGCUCCUCUGACGUUAGCGCGGACGGGUGAGUAACACGUGGAUAACCUACCUAUAAGACUGGGAUAACUUCGGGAAACCGGAGCUAAUACCGGAUAAUAUAUUGAACCGCAUGGUUCAAUAGUGAAAGACGGUUUUGCUGUCACUUAUAGAUGGAUCCGCGCCGCAUUAGCUAGUUGGUAAGGUAACGGCUUACCAAGGCAACGAUGCGUAGCCGACCUGAGAGGGUGAUCGGCCACACUGGAACUGAGACACGGUCCAGACUCCUACGGGAGGCAGCAGUAGGGAAUCUUCCGCAAUGGGCGAAAGCUUGACGGAGCAACGCCGCGUGAGUGAUGAAGGUCUUCGGAUCGUAAAACUCUGUUAUUAGGGAAGAACAAAUGUGUAAGUAACUAUGCACGUCUUGACGGUACCUAAUCAGAAAGCCACGGCUAACUACGUG
rnacentral:rRNA from 1 species